rnacentral:lncRNA from 1 species
UGUGUACAACUAUUAAGGCAAGGAACACAUGCAUACUAUGACUGAUCAGAGACCUAUUAUUAGAUCCCCACACGUGUACUUAAUGACAAUAGGAAGGCCUCAGGAGUUCAUAUUUGUUAACUGCAUUUUUGUUAGCCUUAUCCAUAAAAGAAGUAUGAGUAUCCGUACCAUAAGGUUCAGGAUUUGGUUUUCACAUAAAGAUAGAGGUUGAAUAUCCCGACUAGAUUACUCAGGUGCCUUAUGAUCCGACUUUGGUUGACCUAUAGUCACGAUGCAGUCACAUAUAUAAUAAAAAUAUUUAUAUGGUUCAGUCUAUCAUUUCUUUUCUUGCAUAAUUAUUAUUCAAAAAAAAAAUAUUAUUCAAAAAAAAAAUACUUAUGAUGACAAGUCUGGCCUCGUGGCGUAGUCUGGUUCGAGUAAUUAAGUCCGAGGGGUGUUUCACCUAAUGUCUUGAGCCAACUGGAUCGGGGGUCAUUGACUGAAAGCUCGCUACAUGGACCUUACUAGAGCCUAAUGGGGUUGGAUAGCUGUAGUUGUCAUGUGUAUUGAAAAAAAAAAUGAAAUAAAAAUAAGCAUAAAUAGGGUUGGUUCGACUGAACCUAGUGACAUGUGGUAAUGGCUGGUUUGACUCCAUUGUAUUGGACCUCUGUGUACCCGGGUUGUUUA